rnacentral:sRNA from 1 species
CGCUCCUGUAAUGUUUAAAAUACAUGAUUAGUCCGUGCCAACUUCAUCUGAACUUAAACAACUUAAAAAAGCACGAUGCCUUUCACCCGAACUGCGCUAAAAUUAUUCCAUUUUCAUUAUUACCGGUGGAGUAUGAUAUACUAAUAUAAUGCUGAACUUUCUGGAUUAGAUCCCAGGGUCCGCCGUACCUCCUCGUCCUCUCGGGAGUUCUAAGGGAUGUGCUCCUGGCUGGACUGUGGCAGGCACUGUCUGUCCUCCUGCGGGCCAAAGCCAUGAUGCCACUACUGUGUCGCUGAAUCGACAAUGUGGCGUCCCGUCCGCUGCAGCAGGGACCACUGAUCGACGGCAGUAUUGAGGGAUCACGCCCACGGGAAUCAAACGCUGGUCUUCAGCCUCGAGGCGCUGGGCUUAUGUACCAUAUCCAUUGCCGAAUCGUAUCCCAGCAGGACAAAAGCGAACCCGUUGCAAGAGCCCAAAUCUAACAAGCCGACGUCACAUUUCGACCUGGCCAUUGAAAACUAUCUCAAGGACUUUGGCUAUGGCAACCAAGGGAGGGAUACGCGGACUACCAGACUAUAGAUAGAUCUCGUUGUUAAUAGGUUUAAGGAUACACACAUCUGUACAUUUAGA